UAAGGCUGAAGCUAUAGCUACAGUUUGCCAUUUACUGUGUGUGUCAAUCCAGAGUCAUCAUGUUAUUUUUUACUAUAUUGCUGCUUGCAUUAUUUAAAGGUAAAAGUUUUGCAGAUGUUAUCACCACAAAAAGAGAUCAUGUGUUCACCACAGUUGGUGACAAAGUUACUCUUUCUUGUAACUUCAGCAGCAGUAGUUAUGUGCCAAGACUUCAUUGGUAUCGUCAGUAUUUGGGUUCAGUACCUCAGUUCCUCAUACUGGAGUACUCAGGGAGUGUAGUGACUGCUAAUCCUCCCAUCCAAGGGAUUUCCAUUAAACACAGGAAAGAAGCUCAGGAGGUGGAUCUGGAGAUCUCAUCUGUUAAAGUCACAGACUCUGCUCUGUAUUACUGCGCCCUGCAGCCCACAGUGACAGAAAACACAACAACACUGUACAAAAACCUGACAGCAAAUUAUUAA